rnacentral:rRNA from 1 species
AUACGUAGGGAGCGAGCGUUGUCCGGAAUUACUGGGUGUAAAGGGAGCGUAGGCGGGAGUGCAAGUCAGAUGUGAAAUCUCCCGGCUCAACCGGGAGCGUGCAUCUGAAACUGGUACACUUGAGUGCUGGAGGGGAAAGCGGAAUUCCUAGUGUAGCGGUAAAAUGCGUAGAGAUCGGGAGGAACACCAGUGGCGAAGGCGGGUAACUGGACUGCAACUGACGCUGAGGCGCGAAAGUGUGGGGAGCAAACAGGAUUAGAUACCCUGGUAGUCCACACUGUAAACGAUGAAUGCUAGGUGUAGGAGGUAUCGACCCCUUCUGUGCCGCAGUAAACACAGUAAGCAUUCCGCCUGGGGAGUACGGUCGCAAGAUUAAAACUCAAAUGAAUUGACGGGG